CAGCCGCCGCGGUAAUUCCAGCCCCGCGAGCGGUCGGGACUCUUAUUGGGCCUAAAGCGCCCGUAGCCGGCCCGGUGUGUCCCCUCCUAAAUCCCCGGGCUUAACCCGGGGACUGGAGGGGAUACUACCGGGCUAGGGGGCGGGAGAGGCCGAGGGUACUCCCGGGGUAGGGGCGAAAUCCUAUAAUCCCGGGAGGACCACCAGUGGCGAAGGCGCUCGGCUGGAACGCGCCCGACGGUGAGGGGCGAAAGCCGGGGGAGCGAACCGGAUUAGAUACCCGGGUAGUCCCGGCUGUAAACGAUGCGGGCUAGGUGUUGGGUGGGCUUAGAGCCCACCCAGUGCCGCAGGGAAGCCGUUAAGCCCGCCGCCUGGGGAGUACGGCCGCAAGGCUGAAACUUAAAGGAAUUGGCGGG
rnacentral:rRNA from 1 species